AAAAUUACCUUGGAGGGGAGAUACCAUAAUCAUGAAGUUAUAUCAUGUGGUUUUCCUAGGGUAAGGCUCAUCCAUUGCACUCUGGAUGUGCUGACCCCUGCGAUUUCCCCAAAUGUGGGAAACUGGACUGCAAAAUUUGUGGUAGUGGGGGACUGUGUUUGUGCAUUCCCCUG
ensembl:snRNA U1 U1 spliceosomal RNA